rnacentral:rRNA from 1 species
UACGUAGGGUGCAAGCGUUAAUCGGAAUUACUGGGCGUAAAGCGUGCGCAGGCGGUUAUGCAAGACAGAUGUGAAAUCCCCGGGCUCAACCUGGGAACUGCAUUUGUGACUGCAUGGCUGGAGUGCGGCAGAGGGGGAUGGAAUUCCGCGUGUAGCAGUGAAAUGCGUAGAUAUGCGGAGGGACACCGAUGGCGAAGGCAAUCCCCUGGGUCUGCACUGACGCUCAUGCACGAAAGCGUGGGGAGCAAACAGG